rnacentral:misc_RNA from 1 species
UGGGCCACUACACCUCCAGGUUGAGUAUGGUGUCUGAACGUAAAAGCUCCAGCAAUGGCCGCAGAAACCCUCUCAUCAGCUGCACAAGGCCAGCAUCAGUAUCUCUUUGCUGCAGUAAUACUGUUAGUAGACAAUUCACCAUGACGGUGGCAACUUUUGAGGGGAGUGGUAAUCAAUCCAAUGCAGCAUCAUCAAAAACUGAUCAAUUUUGUGAUCACACCUUCAA